CAUUUGUGGAUUCCCAGAAGGCUAUUGUUAGAUGAUUUCAAGUAAAAAAAGCACUAAUCACUAUUGAAUUUCGCAUUUUUCUUUUCCGUAAGUGUUGAUUAAUUCUAAUUAUAGCUAGUUUAUAGCUAUAUUCUUUAUUUUUGUCUGCCCUAUCUUCUGAGAAGGAUAUUAAAUCAGUUAGCUCCCAGUUAACUUUAAUUGGUCUUUAUAGAAACAGUUCUCAGACAACGCAGGUUUUUUAUGUUUUCCCUAAUCUAUAUAUUAAAUUUUUCGAAUAUAUUACAAUAUAAAACUACAAUCUAUAACAUGGAACAUUACUUAAAAUUAUACAUAAAUUACGUAAAUUUCAACAGGUUGUGCGUAAUAAAUCACUCUUCAAUGAUAACAAAUUUAAAAAAUAUGAUAAAACAAUUAAAAAUAGCCAUACAUAAAGAAAAUUGUAAUUUUUAAUAAUUUAUUAUAUUUUAGUGUCGUGAAUUUCUAAAAUGUUGAAUGUUAAUUAGAGUGUAUAUAUAUAUAUAUUUUUGUCAUAAUUUGUCAAAGAUGCUCUAAAAAUUUCCAUUUAAAGCAAAUGAUCAUUAUCUAUUACUAUAUUUUCGAAUUCUGCCGAGAGCGAAAUAAUGACUUUUAAAAUAGAAUGCAUAUCUAAUCACGCGACGUGUUUAUUAACAUAUGUUUGGUGCAAAUAGCGUGUGUACAAGGCAUAUUAUUUGAAAUGGGACGAGACUAACAAUAAGUAGAAUUCAUUGUUUCUUAAGUUGCUAAAUGUGUUUUAUAAAAUAUUCAAAUUAAGUUACAUCGCGCAACACUCGCGCGUUUCUCCGAUCACAUAAUAUGACAUUUCACAAAUAUCCGCAAAAAGAGUUAUAUAUCAUUGAUGCGCACAAAUAAAACUUGAGAUAUUGCUAUAGGUUCCUUUUUUAUCAAUUAAUAAAAAUUAUUUUAUCGUUUUGCCAAAUAUUAUUCAUUUUUGUUUUGUCUACGCACACACAUCACAAAUUUAUAAAGAAAGAGUAUCCAUUAUUUUAAUGAUUACCCAAGAUUAAUUCCUAUUUAGAUACGACGGAAAAAAAAUUGAAUAUAUUAUUUUUUAGGAGAGAUAAGAAAAUAUAUAAAAUUUUUAUAUUUAUCCCUAUUUGGUCUAAAAUAUAAUAUUUUAGCCGGCAAUUUUUCGAAAAAUAAUCAAUGAAUAAACUUUGCAGUAAUUUCUUAUCAAUAAUACAGUUUUAAAGAUAUAAACAGAUAUUUUUAAAAAAUACCCUUACUUAUCUUAUUCCAUUUUAAUUUACGAUCAUCAGAUUAAGCAAUAAACAACAUUGAAUAUCGGCUCUAUUAUAUCAUGUUUGUCUUUUAGAUAGGAUCAGAAAACUCGCUCGCAUAUGUCAGAGAGUUAAAGUAAGACGGAUAACUAUCGGAGAAUAUAUUCUCGAGGAAAAUCGCGUCUCAUGCAAUAUAUGCAAUUUGCCGACAAUGUUGCGAGCGAAAAAUCAGUCAAAUAAAAUUGACGCGCCGUUACAGGCAUGCCUAUGAGAAAAGAUUUGGUUUCAGAAAAUUUUAUCAUGAUGCUCAGGAUAUAAACAAAUUAACUUUUGUCACGUUCAAUGAAUAAUACGUGGAAAAAUGUAUAAGAAAAAAAAAAAUUCUUCUCUCUCUCUUUCUACAAUAAUAUCGAUUAUUUUAGAAAGAAGAAUAUUCUCUCUUAACAUACAAAAUCUUUGCUUUUAAGGAAACGCAAAACGAAUUCGAUAAUACAAAGCUGUACGAAAACAUUCUAUUAUCGCCCUUAACAAUAUUUUAAACAGAACUUUUCUUUCCAAUACCUAAAUAUGCGUCGACAUAAAAAAUGCCACGUACAAUGUAUACAUUUGCAGAAUAAAACGCUUUCUGAAAUGACUGAUCCU